rnacentral:rRNA from 1 species
CCCGGGGCGUGCCCGCCGGCAUUAUCAGAAUCUCUGUUCGAACCCGACGAUACUUCUGAGUGUUCUAAGCGAACUGUUAAAACUUUCAACAACGGAUCUCUUGGCUCCAGCAUCGAUGAAGAACGCAGCGAAACGCGAUAUGUAAUGUGAAUUGCAGAAUUCAGUGAAUCAUCGAAUCUUUGAACGCACAUGGCGCCUUCCAGUAUCCUGGGAGGCAUGCCUGUCCGAGCGUCGUUUCAACCCUCGAGCCCCCGUGGCCCGGCGUUGGGGACCUGCCCAGGCAGUCCCCGAGAACCAGUGGCGGACCCGACGGGCCCUUCCUUUGCGUAGUAACAUCUGCCUCGCAUCGGGAGCCCCCGGGCUAUCCGGCCUCUAAACCCCCCUCAAGCCCGCUCCGGCGGCACCAAGGUUGACCUCGGAUCAGGUAGGAAUACCCGC